UUAGAUAUUUAACACAUCUGAGAAGAAGACCAUAAUACAUUUAGAUAUUUAACACCUGAGAAAUUGAGAUAUAUAACACCUCUGAGAAAUUGAGAUAUUUAACACCUCUGAGAAGAAGACCAUAAAGAAAUUGUUAAAGAAGAAAGCCUACAAUGAAGGUGUAGCUGAAGUCGAUACAUUAUUUUGAUGUGAUAAUUAAAUAGAAAUGUAAAACGGUAAUUUCGAAGAUCAUUGAACAAGUUUAAUUGGUACUACAAUAUAAUCCUAAUGGUCGACAUGCCACGAAGACAAUUAAUAGGGUCUACGCCUUCAUCUGCUGCACAAUAUCAUCGUUUAAAACGAGCCAAUAAUGAAGGUUUCAUUGACCUACAGUUUGAGAAGCCCCCACCCAAGAUACCAUAUAAAGCCAUUUUUCUAGCCUUGGGGUUGUUUUUAGUCGGUAGCAUACUAAUUAUUUUAGGAGCGUUAUUAUUAACGGGAUAUAUCAACGCAAAGUACGCAGAUCGGACAUGGCCGAUAUUAAUUAUGGGGUCAUUGAUGUUCAUCCCU